rnacentral:rRNA from 1 species
CGGGUGAGUAACACGUGAGUAACCUGCCCCAGGCUUUGGGAUAACCCCGGGAAACCGGGGCUAAUACCGGAUAUGACCAUCUGUCGCAUGGUGGGUGGUGGAAAGAUUUUUUGGCUUGGGAUGGGCUCGCGGCCUAUCAGCUUGUUGGUGGGGUGAUGGCCUACCAAGGCGGCGACGGGUAGCCGGCCUGAGAGGGCGACCGGCCACACUGGGACUGAGACACGGACCAGACUCCUACGGGAGGCAGCAGUGGGGAAUCUUGCACAAUGGGCGGAAGCCUGAUGCAGCGACGCCGCGUGAGGGAUGACGGCCUUCGGGUUGUAAACCUCUUUCAGCAGGGACGAAGCGUUUGUGACGGUACCUGCAGAAGAAGCGCCGGCCAACUACGUGCCAGCAGCCGCGGUAAGACGUAGGGCGCAAGCGUUGUCCGGAUUUAUUGGGCGUAAAGAGCUCGUAGGCGGCUUGUCGCGUCGACUGUGAAAACCCGUGGCUCAACUGCGGGCUUGCAGUCGAUACGGGCAGGCUAGAGUUCGGUAGGGGAGACUGGAAUUCCUGGUGUAGCGGUGAAAUGCGCAGAUAUCAGGAGGAACACCGGUGGCGAAGGCGGGUCUCUGGGCCGAUACUGACGCUGAGGAGCGAAAGCGUGGGGAGCGAACAGGAUUAGAUACCCUGGUAGUCCACGCUGUAAACGUUGGGCGCUAGGUGUGGGGGGCCUCUCCGGUUCUCUGUGCCGCAGCUAACGCAUUAGCGCCCCGCCUGGGGAGUACGGCCGCAAGCUAAAACUCAAGGAUUGACGGGGCCCGCA